GUAGGUGGCAAGCGUUGUCCGGAAUUAUUGGGCGUAAAGCGCGCGCAGGCGGUCCUUUAAGUCUGAUGUGAAAGCCCACGGCUCAACCGUGGAGGGUCAUUGGAAACUGGGGGACUUGAGUACAGAAGAGGAAAGCGGAAUUCCAAGUGUAGCGGUGAAAUGCGUAGAGAUUUGGAGGAACACCAGUGGCGAAGGCGGCUUUCUGGUCUGUAACUGACGCUGAGGCGCGAAAGCGUGGGGAGCAAACAGGAUUAGAUACCCUGGUAGUCCACGCCGUAAACGAUGACUGCUAAGUGUUAGGGGGUUUCCCGCCCCCUUAGUGCUGCAGCUAACGCAUUAAGCACUCCGCCUGGGGAGUACGGCCGCAAGGCUG
rnacentral:rRNA from 1 species